AUUGUGGCUCAGUGGUAGAGUGCUUGCCAAGCAAGUGUGAGGGCACUGGGUUCAAUUCCCAGCACCAUA
rnacentral:tRNA from 1 species